GUGUCUAAUAAGAUAAUACAAUGCUAAGUCCUGUUAUUCUAUAAUCCAUAAGGGCUGCUUCUAUUAAGGUAAUUCUCUUUAAGAUUUUUAUUCUAGUAAGGUAUUUCUCACAUCGGAAGCUUUCCUUAAGGCUUACUGAAGUAAGAGAAGUGCAAACACAUUUGUAAGUUUAAUGCCUGCUGAGAUGUUUUUGGUGAUGAACUUGGUUUUUAAGAACUAGACUUCUGAAGAUUCCAGUUGUGUUGUAUAAAGUAAAUCAGAAUCCUGUCAAUUGCCGUACAAACAAGAAAAUACCUAAAUUAUCACACACCAGCCUCUACCAGUGAAAUUCUCAGGUACUUAAGCGAUCAGGACAUGGGCCUGAAACUGCAGAACUCUAGACUGAAGCAGGCAAUCAAAACUGAAGCAGGCAAUCAAAAUCUGUUGAGAUUCAUAAAGUAAGCGUUCUUCUGUUUCUCUUGUUUGAGGCCGAACCUAAUUAGCUUUUUGAAGUGUAUGUGCCAGAAAUGCAUUCUGCAUGACACAUAGCCAGAGAGGAAGAGGAAGAAAGCUGGGGUAGAAUGAAUAAAUUUUUUAAUAGCUGUAGUACUAGAGUGAUGCAAGUGGGCAGGUAUUUGCAUGUUGGACCUUUAUUUGCUUAGCUCUGUAUUGGUUUUGUGCAAGAAUUGGUCCUAUGCAGUCUGUGCAGGGAUGAGAGCUCUGUUGAAUUAGGCAUAGGAUAGAAAACGGUAACUUUUCAAAACUUUUCCUUCCAUUCCGGUAUCUUCUGUAAAUUGUCAACUGUGGUUGUCUCCCUACUGCUGACAGAUACUUACUCACGGAUAGAUAUCCGUUCCUUGUGUUUUAUCAAUCUUCACCUUGAAGAAAAAAUUCUGGGAGGAACAGCUUUGGUAAAGAAAUGGAGAUUGGAUUGCUGUCUGAGCACCACUGUUCUGACACCAACCCUGGCUAGCGUGGUAAUUAAAGGCUUUUCCUACGAGAGGUAAGUUCAAAUCUUCUUGGGCAGAGGAGGAAUUGAAUGUGGGUCCUGCACAUCUGGGAGAGUAAUCCUGGUUCUAUAUCGCAGAAGGUGCUCUACAACCAUCUCAGUCAUGGAUUAUGUCAUUUUGAAUAGUAGUAAUAGCCCCGUCAGCUUCACAGCUUGAUCUGAAAGCACAAGGUACAUUUUGCAACUCUGAUUGAAACCCUUGAUGGACCUGGGAGUGUAUCCUGGGUUCCAGUUAGGUUGUAUUUAAG
ensembl:lncRNA